CACGGAGGGUGCAAGCGUUAUCCGGAUUCACUGGGUUUAAAGGGUGCGUAGGCGGCGCGGUAAGUCGGGUGUGAAAUCUCGGAGCUUAACUCCGAAACUGCAUUCGAUACUGCGGUGCUUGAGGACUGGAGAGGAGACUGGAAUUCAUGGUGUAGCAGUGAAAUGCGUAGAGAUCAUGAGGAAGACCAGUGGCGAAGGCGGGUCUCUGGACAGUUCCUGACACUGAGACACGAAGGCCAGGGGAGCAAACGGG
rnacentral:rRNA from 1 species